rnacentral:rRNA from 1 species
GUGGGGAAUAUUGCACAAUGGGGGGAACCCUGAUGCAGCAACGCCGCGUGAAGGAAGAAGUAUUUCGGUAUGUAAACUUCUAUCGACAGGGAAGAAAAAAUGACGGUACCUGAAUAAGAAGCCCCGGCUAAUUACGUGCCAGCAGCCGCGGUAAUACGUAAGGGGCAAGCGUUAUCCGGAUUUACUGGGUGUAAAGGGUGAGUAGGCGGCAGAGCAAGUCAUAUGUGAAAUUCCGGGGCUUAACCCCGGAGCUGCAUAAGAAACUGUUUUGCUAGAGUGCGGGAGAGGCAAGCGGAAUUCCCAGUGUAGCGGUGAAAUGCGUAGAUAUUGGGAAGAACACCGGUGGCGAAGGCGGCUUGCUGGACCGUAACUGACGCUGAGUCACGAAAGCGUGGGGAGCGAACAGGA